GAUUCACUACAUCACGGUGACGCUGCCAUGACAAAAAGCAACAUAACCAUGAAUUAUGUGGUAUAUCUAUCCGUCGAUGCAUGAGAUGGACUCAGCUGGGUUCCCGCUUCCUCGGCUGUCAUCCGCCACAAUGGCCCUCCCCUGAAUCCCGAUACAGAACUCAAUGUUUCCUAGCCGCGGUGCGGAAUGGAGAAGCGCCAACCGAGGUCCUCAAAAUCAAUUAAUGCUACUGAAAGUCCAGGUACUGAUUGCAUUAGGAUGCGCGCUAAAUAGUGCUCUUCUAAAUUCAAGGAGGCCCUUGCACGUCAUUGGCACGUAAGAGCUUCUGAAGCUUUCAGCAGCUGCCUAUUCAUGAAUGGAGCAGGCAUGAUCCAAGUUGUCAUAAAUCGAUAUUCCUUGAAGAAUAAUGGGGACAGCGGACGCCACUAUGACGCUGCUGAGUAAGUAUUAGAAAACGCGCCAGUCAGUUCUGAUGCAAGCAGAAAAGAUCACAUUUCCUUUUUCAUUGAACAGACAGACAGACAGGCAGUCAGGUACAAGAUGAAAAAAGCCUCAAUCAUCUCUUCCAUAUUCCUCUUUUAUGUUUCAGUAGCUGCAAACUAGCCUCAAGUCAGCUGUGUUGUUAUUUUAUCAAGCUCUUGUCUUACUCUCUGAAUCCUCAUCUUGCUGGCAAAGUGAGGAACAGCCAUCACUAUAGGUACCGGUCGACGUCAGGUGCGGCUGGAAGGACAUCACUCAAAUUUUGAUCUUUUUUACAUGGGCUGUUAUCACUCUCCCCGGCCAGUUCCAGUCAUGACAGUGUAGAUGAAAAACAGUUCUGGAAACAUAUUAUUGCAGUCGGUGUGUGCCAUUGCGUUGUUGUAAAAGGCUGUUUUGUAGAGCGCCUUGAUCUAACUUUACCCUAGAACGGUGGACAAAAUAAAAAGCGUAUGUUCAGGUUUAGCCAAAGCACAUUCGAAACUUUUGCUCAGCAGACUCACUUGUGAGCAAUAAUAUUUUUGAUAGAUUGGAUGGGCCUUUUUGGGCCAAAAAAAAU
rnacentral:sRNA from 2 species